rnacentral:rRNA from 1 species
AUUCUUGGUCAUUUAGAGGAAGUAAAAGUCGUAACAAGGUUUCCGUAGGUGAACCUGCGGAAGGAUCAUUACAAGUGAGGCUACCGAACGUUGGAAACAGCGGUUAGGAGCUUACACCCACCCGUGUUUACAUACUAUUGUUGCUUUGGCGGGCCGUGGCCUCCACUGCGGGCUCUGCUCGUGUGUGCCCGCCAGAGAACCAAACUCUGAAUGUUAGUGAUGUCUGAGUACUAUCUAAUAGUUAAAACUUUCAACAACGGAUCUCUUGGUUCUGGCAUCGAUGAAGAACGCAGCGAAAUGUGAUAAGUAAUGUGAAUUGCAGAAUUCAGUGAAUCAUCGAAUCUUUGAACGCACAUUGCGCCCUGUGGUAUUCCGCAGGGCAUGCCUGUUCGAGCGUCAUUUAACCACUCACGCCUAGCGUGGUAUUGGGGCACGCGGUCUCCGCGGCCCUCAAAAUUAGUGGCGGCGCCGGUGGGCUCUAAGCGUAGUACAUACUCCCGCUAUAGAGUUCCCCCCGGUGGCUCGCCAGAACCCCCAAUUUUUUACAGGUUGACCUCGGAUCAGGUAGGGAUACCCGCUGAACUUAAGCAUAUCAAUAAGCGGAGGAAAAGAAACCAACCAAUCU